UCCCUGGUGGCCUAGGGGGUUAAGGAUCUGGCACUGUCACUGCUGUGGCGCAGGUUCAAUUCCUGGCUUGGGAA
rnacentral:tRNA from 1 species